rnacentral:lncRNA from 10 species
AUAACGGGCGUUAAUAACCAUACCCUGUUAGACUAAGCAUGGUCCACCCGCGAAUCCUCUACAGAGAUGGCCAAGCGCUGGGGUCGUGGCUGCGUCCUCUAGGCCAGUCUCGCUCUGUCACCCAGGCUGGAGUCCAGUGGCACAAUUUCAGCUUACUACAACCUCUGCCUUUCCCCGGGUUCAAGCGAUUUUCAUGCCUCGGCCUCCCAAGUAGCUGGGAUUACAGCAGGAGAGAGGCUGGCUGAGAUGGAGCACACAGCUGAGAGCUAGCAACUGCAACAAGCGUAACAAUCAUAAUCACAACAGUUACAACAAAUGCAGGGGCAGGGGUGGGGGAAUGAAGAGUGUGGAAUCGAAGGUCAGGCCAGACUCACCAGAGGAAAAGAUAUUAGCUCAUCUGAAUUCAUAGCACUCAGCUGCUUCUUGGAGAUGGGGAAACUUGGAGGCAGGAAGUACCGUAAACAA